UCCCUGGUGGCUCAGAUGGUAAAGCAUCUGCCUGCAGUGCAGGAGACCCGGGUUAGAGCCCUGGGUUGGGAA
rnacentral:tRNA from 1 species